AGGGUAAACGCUGGCGGCGUGCCUAAAACAUGCAAGUCGAACGCAUCGUCUUCGGAUGGUGAGUGGCAGACGGCUGAGUAACACGUGGGUGACCGACCCCUUGGUGGGGAAUAACUGCCCGAAAGGGUGGCUAAGACCGCAUACGUCCCGGACCGUGGGGUCUGGGGGAAAGCGUCGCAAGAGGCGCCGAGGGACGGGCCCGCGUCCGAUUAGCUUGUUGGUGGGGUAACGGCCUACCAAGGCGACGAUCGGUAGCUGGUCUCAGAGGAUGAUCAGCCAGACUGGGACUGAGACACGGCCCAGACUCCUACGGGAGGCAGCAGUUAGGAAUUUUGCACAAUGGGCGCAAGCCUGAUGCAGCAACGCCGCGUGAGGGACGACGGCCUUCGGGUUGUAACCGUCUUUAGUAGGGUAAGAAGCGAAAGUGACGGUACCUGCAGAAAAGCACCGGCUAACUACGUGCCAGCAGCCGC
rnacentral:rRNA from 1 species